rnacentral:rRNA from 1 species
CCCGUUCCCAUGCCGAACACGGAAGUUAAGCGUCUCAGCGCCGAAAGUAGUUGGGGGAUCUCCCCCUGUGAGGAUAGGACGUUGCCAGGC